AGUGAACGCUGGCGGUAGGCCUAACACAUGCAAGUCGAACGGCAGCACAGUAAGAGCUUGCUCUUACGGGUGGCGAGUGGCGGACGGGUGAGGAAUACAUCGGAAUCUACUUUUUCGUGGGGGAUAACGUAGGGAAACUUACGCUAAUACCGCAUACGACCUACGGGUGAAAGCAGGGGAUCUUCGGACCUUGCGCGAUUGAAUGAGCCGAUGUCGGAUUAGCCAGUUGGCGGGGUAAAGGCCCACCAAGGCGACGAUCCGUAGCUGGUCUGGGAGGAUGAUCAGCCACACUGGAACUGAGACACGGUCCAGACUCCUACGGGAGGCAGCAGUGGGGAAUAUUGGACAAUGGGCGCAAGCCUGAUCCAGCCAUACCGCGUGGGUGAAGAAGGCCUUCGGGUUGUAAAGCCCUUUUGUUGGGAAAGAAAAGCAGCAGGUUAAUACCCCGCUGUUCUGACGGUACCCAAAGAAUAAGCACCGGCUAACUUCGUG
rnacentral:rRNA from 1 species